AUGACAUACACACCAGUCCAAUCCAACCCACCAGCAGUUUUAACUCAAUACACAUUAUACGUAAAAACAUUAUACUUUUUGGAACCAAGACCAAUUAAAGCAAACAUCUCCAAGCAAUUUUUCACAAAGUUAUAUAGAUAUCACAUAGCAAAAUCAAACAAUAAAGAAAA